AUUGAACGCUGGCGGCAUGCCUUACACAUGCAAGUCGAACGGCAGCACGGACUUCGGUCUGGUGGCGAGUGGCGAACGGGUGAGUAAUAUAUCGGAACAUACCUUGUAGUGGGGGAUAACUAUCCGAAAGGAUAGCUAAUACCGCAUACGCUCUAAGGAGGAAAGUGGGGGAUCGCAAGACCUCAUGCUAUAAGAGUGGCCGAUAUCUGAUUAGCUAGUUGGUGAGGUAAAGGCUCACCAAGGCAACGAUCAGUAGCUGGUCUGAGAGGACGACCAGCCACACUGGAACUGAGACACGGUCCAGACUCCUACGGGAGGCAGCAGUGGGGAAUUUUGGACAAUGGGGGCAACCCUGAUCCAGCAAUGCCGCGUGAGUGAAGAAGGCCUUCGGGUUGUAAAGCUCUUUUGUCAGGGAAGAAACGGUUGUGGCUAAUAUCCAUGGCUAAUGACGGUACCUGAAGAAUAAGCACCGGCUAACUACGUGCCAGCAGCCGCCGCCGUAA
rnacentral:rRNA from 1 species